UCCCAGGUGAGGGUGCCCUGAGGAGGCAUGGACAUGGUUGCUAACCCUGUAGUUUGACUCGGAUUGUUUCUGGUUCUGAACCUGUCUGAUUCUUCCUUUCUGGAUCCAGCUCAGUGGCAUUCAGGGGGAAAAGGAAUAAGGAGCAAGUGGAAACAGGCUUAGAAGGAUCAGUGGCUUCUGCUACGGGUAGAUAUGUCUCUGCUUUUAGCCUGAUCUGUUUUAUGACCCUCAAUAAAGUUUUAGUUUCUCUGCUUA